AACGCACAUUGCGCUUCCUGGCAUUCCGGGGAGCAUGCCCGUUUCAGAAUCAUAUGACUCUCAUGGCCUGUCUCCUGGUGAAGAUUCCACCUGGUCACACAGGGCCGUGGAUUUGGACGGUUUUGCCUAUGCACAGUGCUGCUGGCAACCAUCUGAAAGCAAUUGUAUGCAUCCCAUUUGUGCCGAUCGAUGCCCUUCCAGUGCAACAGAUUAGCUUCUUACUCACUGCAAGACUGUGUGUCGGGUUCGGUCAGUGGACGAGGUGUACCCAUAUGCAUUAUGCUUGGGGGACAAAGCUGCUCUGAGGCAAGACUCUUCUCCCAAAAGUACAUGGUCUGAAAUCGGGCAAGAGAACCCGCUGAACUUAA
rnacentral:misc_RNA from 1 species